rnacentral:rRNA from 1 species
CGGCAACAGCUCAAAUUUGAAAUCUGGCUCUUUCAGGGUCCGAGUUGUAAUUUGUAGAAGAUGCUUCGGGUGAGGCUCUGGUCUAAGUUCCUUGGAACAGGACGUCAUAGAGGGUGAGAAUCCCGUCUUUGGUGCGGACUCCCAGUGCUUUGUGGUGUGCUCUC